UACAGAGGCCCCGAGCGUUACUGAGAAUCACUGGGUUUAAAGGGUGCGUAGGUGGCGCGUUAAGUCCGUUGUGAAAUCCCUGGGCUCAACCCAGGAAUUGCUUCGGAUACUGGCGUGCUUGAGGCCGGUAGGGGUCACUGGAACUGACGGUGGAGCGGUGAAAUGCGUAGAUAUCGGGAGGAACACCUGUGGCGAAAGCGGCGCACUGGACCACAACUGACGCUGAGGCGCGAAAGCUAGGGGAGCAAACAGG
rnacentral:rRNA from 1 species